UACGUAGGGCGCAAGCGUUAUCCGGAAUUAUUGGGCGUAAAGAGCUCGUAGGCGGUCUGUCGCGUCUGCUGUGAAAACUCGGGGCUUAACCCCGGGCCUGCAGUGGGUACGGGCAGACUAGAGUGCGGUAGGGGAGACUGGAAUUCCUGGUGUAGCGGUGAAAUGCGCAGAUAUCAGGAAGGACACCCGUGGCGAAGGCGGCUCUCUGGGACGGUACUGACGCUGAGACGCGAAAGCGUGGGGAGCGAACAGG
rnacentral:rRNA from 1 species